CAAUAGCUGUAGCAUCAGCAGAGGCAUUCGGGAAGUUAGAGGGACAUAAAUUGGGUUACUUACAUUAUUAUUAUGAUGACUUAGCGACACAGUGGUAGGGAUUCAUUGAUCUGGGUUUGAGAGUGUAUAGAGAGAGUGCAAAAAGAAAAAAGAAAAGCAGAUGGCUUGACCGUGUUUCAAUUAGUGUAAAACAAUGAUGGCCGCAUGCGUCAUUGUGAGAGAAAUUUAUAGAAGUGCCAGAAGAGAACCACCGAACGUCUACGCGCUGCACUCUCUAGAUUCGCCAUAAAGUCAAACCAACAGAUCAGAGCCACACAGCAGCAUGGAUUAUCAGCAACCCUUCUGCAAUCCGAGUGUGCCAUUCACAGGCUGUAUCCAGGGAAGUCUGCAUGAGGGGAAGACCAUCACUGUGACAGGGAGAGUCCUGCCAGGAUCCCAGAGAAAAACCUGACGUAGCCCUCCACUUCAACCCCCGAUAUGAUGAAUCCAAACACCAUGUGGCCUGCAACACCAUGCUGAGCUCUAAGUGGGGCCCAGAGGAGUGUAGAUAUUAUAUACCCAUGACCCAGGAGGAACGAUUUACCCUCAUGUUCCUGGUCAACCGAGAUUCAUAUUCGGUGGUUGUGAAUGGUGCCCACUUCAUGGAGUACCUGCACCGGAUGUCAAUCACCCAAGUGGACACCAUCUUCGUGUAUGGGGAUGUGGAGAUCGAAUCCAUUGCCUUCUCCAACUCUGCAGGACUCCUGAAAUAACCAGCAAACCAGGCUGUCGUCAUGUGAAUCAGUGGAUGUAAAGAAUCUAGCUAGCUAAAGCAUUUACUGCAAAUUGAAUGUACAAUUUUGGAAGCUUGCCUUGCUGAUAUUUGCCAUGCAAUACAGAUAUAUGAAGUAACGUAGUUAUUAUGUUCUUGCUUAUUGUGCAGUGGAGGAUACAAAUACCUGUAUGGCUGUUUAGCUAGUUAUUUAGCUGAUCUGUGUAUGGACCCAAACAAUUGGUAUACAUAUUAGUUCAGAACCUAGCUAUGAACCUCAGCUGUCAUAGCCAGUUGUCAUUCAGACGGUUUUGAAGUUGAUAUUUUAAUGAAGCCUGUGGAUUGAGUAGAAUAUAAUAUAAAUUUGUGCCAAGGAUGCAAGUCGUAUAUACAUGUAGUUAUUACCAUGCAUGAGAUCCAUCCCCACACUGUGGCCUGUACAUUUAAUAUAUUCACUGACCAUGUAUUCUAUCUUGGUAAAUAAAGGUGCAGUUCAGA